rnacentral:snRNA from 1 species
UUGCUUUGGCAGCACAUAUACUAAAUUGGAAUGAUACAGGGAAGAUUAGCAAGGACCCUCUGUGCAAGGAGGACACACAAAUUAGUGACGUGUUCCAUAAUUUU